rnacentral:rRNA from 1 species
CAGCCGCCACGGUAAUACGUAGGUCCCGAGCGUUGUCCGGAUUUAUUGGGCGUAAAGCGAGCGCAGGCGGUUAGAUAAGUCUGAAGUUAAAGGCUGUGGCUUAACCAUAGUACGCUUUGGAAACUGUUUAACUUGAGUGCAAGAGGGGAGAGUGGAAUUCCAUGUGUAGCGGUGAAAUGCGUAGAUAUAUGGAGGAACACCGGUGGCGAAAGCGGCUCUCUGGCUUGUAACUGUCGCUGAGGCUCGAAAGCGUGGGGAGCAAACAGGAUUAGAUACCCCAGUAGUCCCUGUCUCUUAUACA